rnacentral:lncRNA from 1 species
UGGCUGCCUCUGGUUGCUCCCAGUGUCAGGCUCAUCACUCAGAUCCUUGGAUGGAAACUGCCUGGAGGAUGGCUGCAGGAGUAAGCACAGCAGUGAGGUAUACUGGCAGAGCCUGCAGGCUCAUGGCAGGAAACCAAGGCCUUUUCUAGGAACUCACAGCCAACUCAUCAGGGAUGCAAGUGCCUUCUGCAGUAGAGCUGGGAAUACUGGACAUCCAGAGGAACUGAAGCAAGCUAACAAGUAUCAUUAGUAUCUUCUCCCGAAUCUGGGGCUGGAUGGAGAUCUGAGCCCAAAGUUGCAGGGCUGUGCUGCAAGGCAGAGCCCUCUGUCAGCAGGGCUGCCUUGGCCGCAGCAAGGCCUGGGCCAGCCCCACGGGGCUUGGCCUGCCCAGGGGCCCUGCCCAGGCUGGCAGAAGGGACUGAGGUGGUGUUCCCACCAGAAGCAGCACGUUGGCUCUGGGCUGGCUCAGACAAUGUAUCAGGGCUGGAAAUCUAGGUGGGAUGGAGAACCCCAUUCCUUUGAGGUGUCCUGUAGCAUUCUUUAGGUCUAGAAGUCAGAGAAUCUCAAGCUUUCUCUCCCCAUAGCAAACGAGCCCUCGGGAUUAUCAGGGCCAGCACCUGUCUCCUUGUGAAGUGAUGUUAAGAGUGUUGUGACUACAUCCUCAAGAAGGAAAGGGAGCCAUUCUAAGAUGACAUGGAAGAUAAAGGACAAAGAUGAGGCUGACCAGUUCAAGCUACUUCUUCAUGGGGAGAGCAAGGCAAUUAGUACCUACAGUGCAACUGAAGAAGGGUCUGGUAAUGAGGGACCCAUCUUUGAGAACAUGGGAAAGGUUUUGGAUGAAGCCUGGCACAAACUUGAAGGGGAGGCCUGCUCACAAUGUGUGUGUGUAGCCCUUGUCAGUCCCUACAGAGCAAGGAGGGCAGAUGGAGGCGGUGCCCUGGCAAGAUUAAUGUGCCACUGCUUGAACUUCUUGAAGAUCACAACACGGCAGGAGAGGAAACCUGCUGUGAAGUUCCUGGAGUGA